UACGUAGGGGGGCUAGCGUUGUCCGGAUUUAUUGGGCGUAAAGAGCGUGUAGGCGGCCAGGUAGGUCUGCUGUGAAAACUCGAGGGCUCAACCUCGAGACGUCGGCGGAAACCAUCUGGCUAGAGUCCGGAAGAGGAGAGUGGAAUUCCUGGUGUAGCGGUGAAAUGCGCAGAUAUCAGGAAGAACACCGUGGCGAAGGCGGCUCUCUGGACGGUACUGACGCUGAGACGCGAAAGCGUGGAGC
rnacentral:rRNA from 1 species